GCAAGUCGAGCGGUAACAGGAAUUAGCUUGCUAAUUUGCUGACGAGCGGCGGACGGGUGAGUAAUGCUUAGGAAUUUGCCCAGUCGAGGGGGAUAACUAUUGGAAACGAUAGCUAAUACCGCAUACGCCCUACGGGGGAAAAGAGGGGACCUUCGGGCCUUCUGCGAUUGGAUGUACCUAGGUGGGAUUAGCUGGUUGGUGAGGUAAUGGCUCACCAAGGCGACGAUCCCUAGCUGUUCUGAGAGGAUGAUC
rnacentral:rRNA from 1 species